UAAGUACACCAACCUAAACUUUCUAAACUUAAUUUAACAUGUAUUAACGUUAAUUAAAACGCAGCAAGGCUGACUCAGCACCAUGGACAGCUAACGAGGACACGAAGCUCUUAAGGUGCAUCUGCACUUGCUCUGGAGUGACCUUUUAGGAAACUGGCGUAAAAACGUCGAGCGAGGGGACGCGGGCGUUUCUGGAGCUGCUGCUGCCGUUGAUUCAACUCGACUCCCUGCCAAGAGACCCAUCCUUAUCUGACUCUGAUUGGCCCUGAACCCGACGGAUCUCCAGCUUCACCAGGAUGGCCGGCAUCACCCUGCAGAGGGGGAAUGAACGUGAGUGUGGAGUUGAACAGCUGUCCAGCUGCAGGUGGUCCCUGCAAUCCUUUUGGGCCCUCGAGUCCUCUCUCUCCCGGAAGCCCUGGAGGACCAGGUUUCCCGCAAGGCCCAAUGUCCCCCUGUGAAAACAUGGCAACAUAAGAAGACAGGAAAUUAGAUACAUUUAUUGACUGCAGGUUAUCAAAUGCUGUUACAGAGUUGGCUGUCAAAAUGUUUAAUUCCUCAAAAAACUGGGGCUGUAGACUGUUCCGCAACAUUAAACAAAGACAGUUUGGUCUCAUAUUGUACCUUGUACCACCUUUGGGCGAUUUCUUAAGUUGUUUGUGGUAUGAACAAUCAGUGAUGUAAAGAGUCAGGAUUGAUGCUGCUGUAAACACUGACCUGAUAUCCUUUCUGUCCUGGUGGGCCUUCAGUUCCUGUUUGGCCAUGGAGACCCUGAUGUCAAAAGUCAAAACAAUCAUCUCCUGACAA